rnacentral:snRNA from 1 species
AUCACUUCUCGGCCUUUUGGCUAAGAUCAAGUGUAAUACAGUUCUUCAUGAGGUGACCCUCAACCAUAGAAUUAUUUUUGUUGCUACUUCAUAACUGAAGUUUUGCAACUGUUGUGAAUCACAAUGUAAAUCUGUAAUAUGCAUGAUAUCUGAUAUGCAACCCCU